rnacentral:rRNA from 1 species
AGCGGAAACGAGUUAUCUGAACCUUCGGGGAACGAUAACGGCGUCGAGCGGCGGACGGGUGAGUAAUGCCUGGGAAAUUGCCCUGAUGUGGGGGAUAACUAUUGGAAACGAUGCUAAUACCGCAUAAUGUCUACGGACCAAAGAGGGGGACCUUCGGGCCUCUCGCUUCAGGAUAUGCCCAGGUGGGAUUAGCUAGUUGGUGAGGUAAUGGCUCACCAAGGCGACGAUCCCUAGCUGGUCUGAGAGGAUGAUCAGCCACACUGGAACUGAGACACGGUCCAGACUCCUACGGGAGGCAGCAGUGGGGAAUAUUGCACAAUGGGCGCAAGCCUGAUGCAGCCAUGCCGCGUGUAUGAAGAAGGCCUUCGGGUUGUAAAGUACUUUCAGUCGUGAGGAAGGCAAUAUAGUUAAUAGCUAUAU